AACGAACGCUGGCGGCAGGCCUAACACAUGCAAGUCGAGCGAGCAUUUCGGUGCUAGCGGCGGACGGGUGAGUAACGCGUGGGAACGUGCCCUUUUCUGCGGAAUAGUCCUGGGAAACUGGGGGUAAUACCGCAUACCCUUUUGGGGAAAGAUUUAUCGGAGAAGGAUCGGCCCGCGUUGGAUUAGGUAGUUGGUGGGGUAAUGGCCCACCAAGCCGACGAUCCAUAGCUGGUUUGAGAGGAUGAUCAGCCACACUGGGACUGAGACACGGCCCAGACUCCUACGGGAGGCAGCAGUGGGGAAUCUUAGACAAUGGGGGCAACCCUGAUCUAGCCAUGCCGCGUGAGUGAUGAAGGCCUUAGGGUUGUAAAGCUCUUUCAGCUGGGAAGAUAAUGACGGUACCAGCAGAAGAAGCCCCGGCUAACUCCGUG
rnacentral:rRNA from 1 species